rnacentral:lncRNA from 13 species
AGUCUACUGCACAGACGCACCAGAGCCGCGCUCGCGAGUUGCGGAGUCCUCUUUCAGCAUGAGAAAUUCGGCGAAUUGGACUGCUCAUCCUUUCGCUCUCUGGGACGAAAUCAAAUCCUUUAUUUGGGAAUGGCGGGAAUGGUGCAGAUUCCAUAAUGGAAUGAUGAUCAUGCUGAAAGCAGCUUCUCCCUGACCGCUGCUACUCAAGCCCUUCUGUGAGGUACUAUCCCUGACAGCCGUGGUCUGGAGGAUCUGAUUGAGAGCGUCUGUCCCCGUGCGGGUCCUGGUUUUCUUCUGUGGAUUUUUUCAUGAGUUUGAGUCAUUUCAGUCACAAUUACUGUAUCUACGAAGUGGCGGCAAGAGAUUAUCCUUCAACACUACAGUAGCUGUACCGGGUUUCUCUAUCUGCUAAGCUUAAGAAGGGGACUCUUGCGAGGGGCAGAAUAAAUAUGACGAACGUCGUUACAGAAUCACCCACCGCAACAGGACCAAGCGGCGUGGUAACGGGCAACAGCGGCACAAGGAGGAAUGGACUUAGGAUGAUGUGUUGGACGGCAAGGGUUGCUACACAUGGGAGGAGAUCCUGGCGGGAAAGGAUCGCCUUCCAUGGGAACAGGUGGAGGCAGCGAGGAGAGCAGAGGCAGCCGGAGAGAGGAGCCGGCGAUAUGAGGGAACACGGUUGGCAAGGAAGCCCGGGAGUCAGCCCCAAACAUUUCUUGGGGGGGGGGCUAACAGGGAGUAUGGCUACGCCAGGUAGGAGACCUGAGCCAACUUCCUGUGGUUACCGGGGGGCUAGAGAGACCGGGCAGGCACCGUGUUAUGCUGUGGAGCGCACGGUGUCCCCAGUGCGGGUGCACAGCCCGGUGCGGUACAUUCCAGCUCCGCGUAUCGGCCGGGCUAGAUUGGGCAUCGAGCCAAGUGCCAUGAAGCCGGCUCUACGCAUCUGGUCUCCAGUGCGUCUCCUUGGGCCGGCUUACAUGGCACCAGCCUUGCGCACGGUGUCCCCGGUUCGCCUGCAUAGCCCAGUGCGGGCUAUUCCACCUCGCCGCACUGGCAGGGCGACCGGGACCAUUCAACCGGGUAAGGUUGGGCAGGCUCGGUGCUCAAGAGCUCCAGUGCGCCUGCACGGCCCGGUCUAUCCGUCACCACCUCCACGCACCAGCCCUCCGGUGGCAGCUCCCCGUACCAGGCUGUCUCUCUGGCCCAUCCUUGCAGGGGCUCUCUCCUCUCCAGCGCUGCCGGAGUCUCCCGCCUCUCCGGCGCUACCAGAGCCUUCCUCCUCUCCAGCGCUGCCGGAGUCUCCCGCCUGUUCGGCGCUACGAGAGCUACUCAGUCCGGCGCUUCCAGAGCCUUCCUCCUCUCCAGCGCCGCCAGUGCCGCUCGUCAGCCCAGCGCCGCCAACGCCGCCCGUCUGCCCAGCGCCGCCAGUGCCGCCCGUCAGUCCGGCGGUUCCAGAGCCUUCCUCCUCUCCAGCGCCGCCAGUGCCGCCCGUCUGCCCAGCGCCGCCAGUGCCGCCCGUCUGCCCAGCGCCGCCCGUCUGCCCAGCGCCGCCAGUGCCGCCCGUCUGCCCAGCGCCGCCAGUGNNNNNNNNNNGCCGCCAGUCAGCCAGGGGCCGCCAGUAA